GACGAACGCUGGCGGCGGGCUUAACACAUGCGAGUCGAACGGAAAGGCCCUGCGUUUGUGGGGUGCUCGAGUGGCGAACGGGUGAGUAACACGUGAGUAACCUGCCCUAGACUUUGGGAUAACUUCAGGAAACGGGGGCUAAUACCGGAUAGGAGCUCCUGCUGCAGGGAGGGGGUGGGAAAGUUUCGGCGGGUGGGGAUGGACGCGCGGCUGAUCAGCUUGUUGGUGGGGGAGGGGCUUACCAAGGCUUUGACGGAUAGGCGGCCUGAGAGGGUGACCGGCCACCUUGCUCCUGCGAUACGGCCCAGUCUCCUACGGGAGGCAGCGGUGGGGAAUCUUGCACAAUCGGCGCAAGCCUGUUGCAGCAACGCCGCGUGCGGAAUGACGGCCUUCGGGUUGUAAACCGCUUUCGCCUGUGACGAAGCGUGUGUGACGGUAAUGGGUAAAGAAGCACCGGCUAACUACGUG
rnacentral:rRNA from 1 species